UACGAGGGGGGCAAGCGUUGUUCGGAAUUAUUGGGCGUGAAAGCGCUCGUAGGCGGGACUGGAGUCCGUGUUGAAAGACCUCGGCUCAACUGAGGGACCGGCUCGGAUACUCUAGUUCUUGAGGCAAUCAGAGGGUGAUGGAAUUCCCGGUGUAGCGGUGAAAUGCGUAGAUAUUGGGAGGAACACCAGUGGCGAAGGCGACUUUCUGGACUGUAACUGACGCUGAGGCGCGAAAGCGUGGGGAGCAAACAGG
rnacentral:rRNA from 1 species